GGAAUAUUGGUCAAUGGGCGCAAGUCUGAACCAGCCAUGCCGCGUCAAGGAUGACGGCCCUAUGGGUUGUAAACUUCUUUUGUACGGGAAAAAACCCUCGCUCGUGAGCGAGGUUGAUGGUACCGUAAGAAUAAGGAUCGGCUAACUCCGUGCCAGCAGCCGCGGUAAUACGGAGGAUCCAAGCGUUAUCCGGAUUUAUUGGGUUUAAAGGGUGCGUAGGUGGGUUAUUAAGUCAGUGGUGAAAGCCUGCAGCUUAACUGCAGAACUGCCAUUGAUACUGAUAAUCUUGAGUGCAGUUGAGGUGGGCGGAAUGUGUCAUGUAGCGGUGAAAUGCUUAGAUAUGACACAGAACACCGAUUGCGAAGGCAGCUCGCUAAACUGUAACUGACACUGAGGCACGAAAGCGUGGGUAGCAAACAGGAUUAGAUACCCUGGUAGUCCACGCCCUAAACGAUGAUCACUCGAUGUGUGCGAUACACUGUACGCGUCUAAGCGAAAGCAUUAAGUGAUCCACCUGGGGAGUACGGUCGCAAGAUUGAAACUCAAAGGAAUUGACGG
rnacentral:rRNA from 1 species